AUGAGAACUUGACGUCGGGUCGCUUAGCGAUUCGGUGUCGAAGCUAACGCGCUAAGUUCUCCGCCUGGGGAGUACGGCCGCAAGGUUGAAACUCAAAGGAAUUGACGGGGGCCCGCACAAGCGGUGGAGUAUGUGGUUUAAUUCGAUGCAACGCGAAGAACCUUACCUGGUCUUGACAUGUCGAGAAGUCUGCAGAGAUGCGGAUGUGCCUUCGGGAACUCGAACACAGGUGCUGCAUGGCUGUCGUCAG
rnacentral:rRNA from 1 species